GCACUCAGACGGGAGGGAAACAAAGAAGUAACGAAAAUGAAGUGGAGAAGGUCAAAGAUGUUGCGGAAGAAACGCACAUGACCGUGGCACAGUCGAGGACUGGGAAAGAGGAACAGACGAGUUUUAAGUUGAGUUGGAGAUCGUCAAGGUGAAGCCCAGAGCACAGCUGUGACACACAUACGGGUCUUCAUGGCAGCUGGAGUGAUAGUGCUCUCUAAGCUGACCCCAGAACAUAACUUGGUGACUUCAAGGUGAAAGGUCAAUAAAACACAGAGACAGAGCCUUCGGUUUUCACUUCAAGAGUAUGAUAUGCAGAAGAAGCAAGAGAGAAGAGGAGAGUGAGGAGCUAAACCCACCCAGACACCUGUCGCAUGUAGUUACGUGUUGGGGCCGAACACUGACCUGCUUUCUGAUGUCUGGCAAGACAAGAAUAAUAACAGAUCUUGUCAUUGCUAUUUUGCAGUGUGUUUUACAAAAUCACCUGUGUGCCCAUCUGUUUCUCACUCUUCAUCAUAUCACAUUUCUACUCCUGAUUAUGUUCUCUGAGUUUGAUAAUAAAAUGCUCCAUUCACA